CAGGAAGCAAAGGCCGGACGGAUCCCUUGGACCCUCCAGCGACGACAGGAAGCAAAGGCCGGACGGAUCCCCUGGACCCUCCAGCGACGACAGGAAGCAAAGGCCGGACGGAUCCCUUGGACCCUCCAGCGACGACAGGAAGCAAAGGCCGGAGCGGUCCUUCGGACCCUCCAGCGGAGACACGAGGCAAAGGCCGGAGCGGUCCUUCGGACCCUCCAGCGGAGACACGAGGCAAAGGCCGGAGCGGUCCUUCGGACCCUCCAGCGGAGACACGAGGCAAAGAGUCCACUAGCCGACAUAAAGGCAGCUGGCACUGCACGGAGCACUGGCUUUGCCCAGGCAACACUAACAUGGAGGAGUUCUCUGAGGGCUGCUUAAUCUUCAGGGGUCCAGUAAUAGCUGGGGGGUGAAACCUAGCUUCUGGGGAAGCCCUGGAGUGCAUUACUUCGCCUGAAGCAGCUAAAGAGCAAGAAUCUCCCUGGGUGGAACUAAGACCUUCUCCCUGCCUAAAGUGAGAGUGUGAGACUGG
ensembl:lncRNA